AUCGAACGCUGGCGGCAGGCUUAACACAUGCAAGUCGAACGGGCACUUCGGUGUCAGUGGCAGACGGGUGAGUAACACGUGGGAACGUACCCCUUGGUUCGGGACAAGACAGGGAAACUUGUGAUAAUACCGGAUAAGACCUUACGGGGGAAGAUUUAUCGCCGAGAGAUCGGCCCGCGGCUGAUUAGCUAGUUGGUAGGGUAAUGGCCUACCAAGGCGACGAUCAGUAGCUGGUCUGAGAGGAUGAUCAGCCACAUUGGGACUGAGACACGGCCCAAACUCCUACGGGAGGCAGCAGUGGGGAAUAUUGGACAAUGGGGGCAACCCUGAUCCAGCCAUGCCGCGUGAGUGAUGAAGGCCCUAGGGUUGUAAAGCUCUUUUGUGCGGGAAGAUAAUGACGGUACCGCAAGAAUAAGCCCCGGCUAACUUCGUGCCAGCCGCCGCAGUAACAC
rnacentral:rRNA from 1 species